AAAUCCAUGCCUUCUGACCCAUUAAUUGACGAUACUCCCAGUGCUGCCCUCUGAAAGAAAAAGGAAAACAGCAGCACCAGAAAGGAGGAUUUGCAGCCAAAACCUUGGUUGAGCCCCUUUCUCCAAGCUUCAAGCCUUGUCACUCCUGUCCAGUUGUCUUUGGAGAAAAAAAGCAACAACAAAAUCAGUCAAUUAGGAAGACUGGGGCACGUCCUCAAGGAUUCUAACAAUUCCCUGCAUGUUGCCUGUGUAGUCCCUGCCUCUGGAGUUCAUCUUUCAUAAGUACUUUGGAAAGAGCUAAACAACUCUCCGGGUCAGUGCUGGAUUGAAGGAGCUACAUAUCAACUUGAAUCAAACUGAUUAUAGUUCCUCUGAACCUAAUUGGCAAAACCUAACUGCAUUCAUGUUUUAUUAAAAGCAACUUUCAUUACGCGGUCUGUGCUGUCCGAAAAAUAAAUUACAUCUGCAAACACUUAGUUAUAAAAUU
rnacentral:lncRNA from 1 species